GUGAAUCAUCGAAUUUUUGAACGCAAAUUGCACUCCCUGGUAUUACGGGGAGUAUGCCUGUUUGAGGGUCGUUAGAAUGAAAAAUCGGGGCUUCGCUCUUUUUUUUUGAGGGUGAUCGCGUCGGCAUUGAGCCGUCUUUCUUAUGUUAAUUAAUGUCAAAGUUGCUUAAAAUGCAUCCUUCCGAUACGUUUAAAGCGUAU
rnacentral:misc_RNA from 1 species